rnacentral:rRNA from 1 species
UACGUAGGGUGCAAGCGUUGUCCGGAAUUAUUGGGCGUAAAGAGCUCGUAGGCGGUCUGUCGCGUCUGCUGUGAAAACUCGGGGCUUAACCCCGGGCCUGCAGUGGGUACGGGCAGACUAGAGUGCGAUAGGGGAGACUGGAAUUCCUGGUGUAGCGGUGAAAUGCGCAGAUAUCAGGAGGAACACCGAUGGCGAAGGCAGGUCUCUGGGCCACUACUGACGCUGAGAAGCGAAAGCAUGGGGAGCGAACAGG